GUGCCAAGCAGCCGCGGUAAUCCCAGCUCCAAUAGCGUAUAUAAAAGUUGUUGCCGUUAAAAAGCUCGUAGUCGAACUUCGGCGCCUGAUGGCCGGUCCGCCUUCUUGGUGUGUACUUGCUCAUCGGGCGCUUACCUCCUGGUGAACUCUGAUGUCCUUUACUGGGUGUCAGAGCAAACCAGGACGUUUACUUUGAAAAAAUUAGAGUGUUCAAAGCAGGCCUACGCCCGAAUACAUUAGCAUGGAAUAAUAGAAUAGGACGCGCGUUCCCAUUUUGUUGGUUUCUGAGAUCGCCGUAAUGAUUAAUAGGGAUAGUUGGGGGCAUUUGUAUUCCGUCGUCAGAGGUGAAAUUCUUGGAUUGCCGGAAGACAAACUACUGCGAAAGCAUUUGCCAAGGAUGUUUUCAUUGAUCAAGAACGAAGGAAGGGGGAUCGAAAACGAUCAGAUACCGUUGUAGUCUCUUCUGUAAACUAUGCCAAUUGGGGAUUAGCACAGGAUUUUCAAUGACUGUGUUAGCACCCGAAGAGAAAUCUUUAAAUGAGGUUCGGGGGGGAGUAUGGUCGCAAGGCUGAAACUUAAAGGAAUUGACGGAAGGGCACCACCAGGUGUGGAGCCUGCGGCUUAAUUUGACUCAACACGGGGAAACUCACCAGGUCCAGACACAAUAAGGAUUGACAGAUUGAUAGCUCUUUCUUGAUCUUGUGGUUGGUGGUGCAUGGCCGUUCUUAGUUGGUGGAGUGAUUUGUCUGGUUAAUUCCGAUAACGAACGAGACCUUAACCUGCUAAAUAGACCAGUCGACUUUGGUUGACUGCUGUCUUCUUAGAGGGACUAUCAGCGUUUAGCUGAUGGAAGUUUGAGGCAAUACAGGUCUGUGAUGCCCCAGGGGCGAUUCCG
rnacentral:rRNA from 1 species